UAAUUGGGGACAAGGUAAUCUAUUGUAUUUAUUGUAUAUAUAAUAGGUUAAUAGGAGCUGAUAUUAUAUGUAUAUUUUCCUAAUAUUUUUCUGAAUUUGCUAAUAAGGCCGACGUAAGAGGGUUACUAACAUUGAUGGGAUUUCCAAAAUUGUUUUCGACCCCAUUGGUGUUCCAGAAAUUGAUGCUUUACGAUUGAGGUAAUACAUGCAUUUACAGAUUUUGUUAAAUAAUAUUUUUAAAAUUUCUACAUGAUCUCUUUUCUAUUGCUCAUAAUAGGAUUGCAAACGAAGACUUCUGAAGGUUGCAGUUUGGCAGCAGUUAUUUUGUCUGAAUUUUUAAUUUUCUUUUGUUUUUUAUACAUUGUUCUUUUAAUAUUUUAUUAGACUACUGAGGAUUUUUCAUUUAAUAUUAUAUUUAUAAUUUACCCGCAUGCAAACAAAUAUACAAUUUAAUGCUCAUGAACAUCGAAUGUAAAAUUAUAUUCACAUACUAAAAUUCCUAGGUAUAAACCGUACUUUCUUACA
rnacentral:lncRNA from 1 species